UCCUAUCCAAACCCUAGUCUAUCUCUUGUAACCAAUCGCCGUCUCGCGACGCUGAUUGGUACCCGUAAGGUUGCUAGUAGUGUUGAUUACUCUUUGUAGUUGAUGCUAGUUGGUUUACUUGGUGGAAGAUUAUAUGUUCAGAUCCAUUAUGAUAUUCAUUACUUCUCUGGUCAUGAAUAUAUCCAUGCUUUGUGAGUAGUUACUUUUGCUCCUGAGGACAUGGGAUAAGUCUUUCUAUUAAU
rnacentral:lncRNA from 1 species